rnacentral:rRNA from 1 species
GACGAACGCUGGCGGCGUGCUUAACACAUGCAAGUCGAACGGAAAGGCCCUGCUUUUGUGGGGUGCUCGAGUGGCGAACGGGUGAGGAACACGUGAGUAACCUGCCCUUGACUUUGGGGUAACUUCAGGAAACUGGGGCUAAUACCGGAUAGGAGCUCCUGCUGCAGGGUGGGGGUGGGAAAGUUUCGGCGGUUGGGGCUGGACUCGCGGCUUAUCAGCUUGCUGGUGGGGUAGUGGCUUACCAAGGCUUUGACGGGUAGCCGGCCGGAGAGGGUGACCGGCCACAUUGGGACUGAGAUACGGCCCAGACUCCUACAGGAGGCAGCAGUGGGGAAUAUUGCCCAAUGGGCGGAAGCCUGAUGCAGAAACGCCGCGUGCGGGAUGACGGCCUUUGGGUUAUAAACCGCUUUCGCCUGUGACGCAGCGUGAGUGACGGUAAUGGGUAAAGAAGCACCGGCUAACUACGUG